rnacentral:rRNA from 1 species
GUGCCAGCCGCCGCGGUAAUACGUAGGGUGCAAGCGUUAUCCGGAAUCACUGGGCGUAAAGCGUGCGUAGGUGGCGUGUUAAGUGAGAUGUUAAAUCGUGUGGCUCAACCAUAUCGAUGCAUCUCAUACUGGCAUGCUAGAGGACGGCAGAGGCAAGUGGAAUUGGUAGUGUAGCAGUGAAAUGCGUAGAUAUUACCAGGAACACCAAUGGCGAAGGCAGCUUGCUGGGCCACUCCUGACACUGAGGUACGAAAGCGUGGGGAGCGAACAGGAUUAGAUACCCUAGUAGUCC